CAGUUGAGGUUCCAGAAUUCCAUGGGGGUUGGUGAGAGAAGGACCAGUAGGGGAGAGCCGGUGGGCAAGCCGUGAGGGUCUGGCCGAGUCUGGCAGUGAAGCUGGCUGGUUUUGCCAUUCACUACUCAUGUGACCUCAGGCAAGUCAUGCCCCCAUCCCCUUGCCUCAGUUUCCUCAUCUGUAAGAUGAGGGGGAUGGGUGCCCUCCAGGGGUCCUUCUUGCUCUAACACGCAGAUGGCUCAUUUCUUUUUCCUGAAGGCCCUACUCUACAAGACUACCCAGAGAGCCAAAAUGUCUUUCCCCUCUUCGGUUCCCAGAUGUUUUCAGAUGUAGCAGUCUAAGACUAGCAACUCUAAAGAAGAACAGUAUGGCCUAUUAGAGAGGGGUGGCCUCAGUCUGGCUAGAUGACCAGGGCUGAAUCUAAUCUGAGACAUCCUGGCUGUGUAACCCUGGAGAACCAGGCCAUCAACACCCCAGAGGAAUUAACAGUGUGUGUGUGGGGGGGGGGACACAGUGCAACGGAGGAUUGAGUUUCUGGCACGACAUAAAGACACAAUCGACUUCAGAGGAGCACCCCCAAAGCCCAAGGAGGAGGGGCCAGAGAAAAGUGGGUGUGUUUGCUCUGAAAGAGCCCGCCCAGAGAAAUGGAUCACUCCAAUAACAUCCCUGAAUGACAUCAGAAUUCAGAUUCCACAGAGCCCAAUCCUGGCCCUAGCAAAGUUCUGACAGGAGAAAGGUGUUAUUUUUAAGUGUGGACUGCUUUGUCUUGCAGUCUGGCCAAUACAUCAGUCUGGUUUGCUUCACUUCUUUCUUUAACA